rnacentral:rRNA from 1 species
UCUGUCCUUGGGGAAGAUAAUGACGGUACCCAACGAGGAAGCCCCGGCUAACUACGUGCCAGCAGCCGCGGUAAUACGUAGGUGGCAAGCGUUGUCCGGAUUUAUUGGGCGUAAAGCGCGCGCAGGCGGUUUCUUAAGUCUGAUGUGAAAGCCCACGGCUUAACCGUGGAGGGUCAUUGGAAACUGGGAGACUUGAGUGCAGAAGAGGAAAGUGGAAUUCCAAGUGUAGCGGUGAAAUGCGUAGAGAUUUGGAGGAACACCAGUGGCGAAGGCGACUUUCUGGUCUGCAACUGACGCUGAGGCGCGAAAGCAUGGGGAGCAAACAGGAUUAGAUACCCUGGUAGUCCAUGCCGUAAACGAUGAGUGCUAAGUGUUAGGGGGUUUCCGCCCCUUAGUGCUGCAGCUAACGCAUUAAGCACUCCGCCUGGGGAGUACGACCGCAAGGUUGAAACUAAG